ACACUCCUACGGGAGGCAGCAGUGGGGAAUUUUGGACAAUGGGGGCAACCCUGAUCCAGCAAUGCCGCGUGAGUGAAGAAGGCCUUCGGGUUGUAAAGCUCUUUUGUCAGGGAAGAAACGGUGGUGGCGAAUAACUACUACUAAUGACGGUACCUGAAGAAUAAGCACCGGCUAACUACGUGCCAGCAGCCGCGGUAAUACGUAGGGUGCAAGCGUUAAUCGGAAUUACUGGGCGUAAAGCGUGCGCAGGCGGUUGUGUAAGUCAGAUGUGAAAUCCCCGGGCUCAACCUGGGAAUUGCAUUUGAGACUGCACGGCUAGAGUGUGUCAGAGGGGGGUAGAAUUCCACGUGUAGCAGUGAAAUGCGUAGAUAUGUGGAGGAAUACCGAUGGCGAAGGCAGCCCCCUGGGAUAACACUGACGCUCAUGCACGAAAGCGUGGGGAGCAAACAGGAUUAGAAACCCCAGUAGUCCCAU
rnacentral:rRNA from 1 species